AUCUAAAUAGUUUAAGAUGAAAAUAUUGGUUUGUGGUGCCGAUGAUAUAUUUGUAUAUAUUUUAGAUU
rnacentral:tRNA from 1 species